UGCAUGAAAAGGUUGAUGGACUGUUUGCAAAAAGGGUGAUAUUUACACCAAUACAUUUGAUCCCGACUACCCUCUGGCCGACGUAUUGGCAAAACUCGAUCCACUAAAAAUAAAUUGACAUCAAUCAGGGGCCGAGGAAAAAGGAAAAGUCAUCAGAACCAGACGAUGGCGAUGGCAACUAAUUAAGCAACGUCACACAUGCAACGUCCAUUAAUGAAAGCGAAUCAAACAGGACUGACUGAGGCGAACGGGGCGGAUGAAAAGGGAUUCGCAUCGAAUUUAAAUACCAAACAAUAGGCUCAAUUAAAAAAAAGGCAAAAUAAACUCGCGAAAAUUGGAA